CUGGACCUGGACGCCCUGUUGGAUUCUCCCUUGGAAACCGCUGCCUGAGCUAAACGGAUUUUCCCCUGACAAAGACCCGGACCGGACCUGGACAAAGAGCCCUGGAUAACCCCCUCUCGGACGCCUUCAACAUAAGGAGUCAGAGCUCUACCCUCAGCACGUCCAGGAGCGGCCAGUCGCAGAGUGCGAGCCGAGCCAGGGGACCGCGCCGCCAGCGUCAAAAUAAAGACUGUUAAUAUUUUGUA